ACCUAUGGUAAUUCAUUUCUUCCAAAAUCAUGCCAAGAAUGGAAUCACCUACCAGAUCCACUAGUCUAUAUAACUAACACCGAUGACUUCCGCAAAGCACUCACUAACGUUAUCUAGUAUGACUUGAUUUUACAAAAUCGACACGUGUA
rnacentral:lncRNA from 1 species